UCUGGCUCCUCGGGGCCCGAAUUGUAAUUUGUAGAAGAUGCUUUGGGUCCGGGCCUGGCCUAAGUUCCUUGGAACAGGACGUCGUAGAGGGUGAGAAUCCCGUAUGCGGCUGGCGCCCGUGCCCGUGUAAAGCUCUUUCAACGAGUCGAGUUGUUUGGGAAUGCAGCUCUAAAUGGGUGGUAAAUUUCAUCUAAAGCUAAAUAUUGGCCAGAGACCGAUAGCGCACAAGUAGAGUGAUCGAAAGAUGAAAAGCACUUUGGAAAGAGAGUUAAACAGUACGUGAAAUUGUUGAAAGGGAAGCGCUGGCAACCAGACUUGGGCGCUGUCGAUCCGCGAGGGUUCUCUCUCGGGCACUCGGCAGCGCGCAGGCCAGCAUCGGUUUGGGGGGUUGGAGAAUGGCUGGUGGAAUGUGGCUGUCUUCGGGCAGUGUUAUAGCCACCAGUGGCAUGCAGCCUCCCCGGACCGAGGACCGCGCUUCGGCUAGGAUGCUGGCGUAAUGGUUGUCAGCGACCCGUCUUGAAACACGGACCAAGGAGUCUAACAUCUAUGCGAGUGUUUGGGUGGUAAACCCAUACGCGGAAUGAAAGUGAACGUAGGUGAGACCCCGUAAGGGCGCAUCAUCGACCGAUCCUGAUGUCUUCGGAUGGAUUCGAGUAGGAGCAUAGCUGUUGGGACCCGAAAGAUGGUGA
rnacentral:rRNA from 2 species